rnacentral:misc_RNA from 1 species
AGAAGUUGCAAUGAAGUAUGUGAUUUCAUUUUCUUAGCAAGAAAUCUCCACACACUCUCUAAUUAUCACUGCCUUUCGUUCAGAACAACACAGAAGACCCACCAAAAUAACUCAUUAACCCAGCACCCAGGACACAACAAAGAAAUGGAAAAACCCAAGAAAUAGCAAAAGGGUAGAAAGAGAGUGAAGUAGAUAAAAAGAAAAAAAAAAGAAUCUUGUAGCUCGGAAAUAUAAGCUUUAACAAGGAAAUGAAACUAGUAGAACUCAAAGCUGUAGGCUUUAGAUACUGCAAUCUAUAAAAAUAGGUUGGUUUGAUUAUCUUUAAACAAUACUAGUGUGAGUAUAAAUCCAAGAUUUGGCAACCACCCACGAAAGCAAACUCAGUUUGAAUGAUGAGUAAAGAGGAAAUGUAGAACCGUGAAUGUUAAAGGAAUCAAAUACAGCUGUGAGGGAAACUUGGAUUCAAAG